CUCCCAAAUUCAGACAAGUGUACCUACAAAUCCUAAACACUUUUAAGGCUUGAAACAGUUUGCUUUCCUUCCUGGCUAAAAUCCCUAUCUGUUACGAAUUGCCCUUUCGUAUUCAAAAGAACUGUUAAACCUCUUUAGUAUUCAUCAAAAAACGUUACACAUAUUUUAAUGGCAUAUGCAUCGGUAUUUAAAUCAUCCUCAAUCCUCCACACAUAUAUAUUCAGCUUCAAGAAAACUGACUCUCGGUAGGCCAAUAAAACAUCAAACAAUCAACUGGAAAAAUUGGAGGGUCAAAGCAAGUGGGUGUUGUUGUAGCAACUGAGAUUGAAAACCAAUAUUCAAGUCAGAUUUUUCAAUUUUAAACCUUUAACAUUACUAUUAUGCUUAUGUAACUGAGUUCAUACACCCUACACCUUUCUGCACAUAAGGUGUUUGAUUAAAUGACAUUUAGAGGAAACCUUUUUAAAACUCAUUCAAUUCCAACAUUUUAAGCAACAAAGUUUUCCUGACUAUGAGACGAAGCAGAAAAUAAUGAUCAGUGUAGUAUUUGGUUCUUCAGAAUUGUUACAUUUUGAUGAUUCUUUGUUGGCUAAUAGUUUUGCAAUUCGUUCAACUUUUAGGUGUGUUUUUCAGAAGCCAGUCUUGGUAAAAUAUGCAUGUCUUUGUUUGAUUGUAUUUUUUAUUUCAGAAAAUAGCUAAUCAUGCAUCAAUAGUAUUUUCUUGCUUUCUUUUCUUCUAAUAUUGGCCAUGAGAAUGUCAUAUAUAUAUAUAUAUAUAUAUGUGCAGAUGAAGAUAGAAAGGAGUUAACAGGUUAUAUUAGUUAGCCAUUCAGGUUUUUCUGAUAUGUAAAGUUAACUCUAUAAUCUGUUAAAAUCGAGUCUCAUUAAAUUGGAACUUUACAGGUGUACAUGGAGUCAUUUCUUGAAGAUUGGCUCACCAACUCAGUUUGCUUAAAGAAGUUAUCGGAAGCAGCAUGAUGAGCACUAAUUAUAGCUUGGGGGGCUCUAUUCGUUGCCUAAACAAGAGGUAAAUUACUUUUUUAGUUAGUGAUUGAUUUUAGUUUCAAUUGAAAAGGUUAAAACUUACAUACUUCGUAUGACCAGAAAGAGCAGAGCCACCUAUCCGGUGAGAGAGUCUGAAAAGAAAUAAAGCAAAUCUCGGUGUCUAAUGUCACUGCUUACCAGAAUCGGAAUUGCAGAUGUUAUGAAUUCUAUCAGAUGUUGUAGAUUGUAAAUGCAUUUGAUGUUAUUUUAAGAUUCUCUAUAUUAAAAAUGAAGUUUUGUAACACGCAUCUGAAACGGUAAACAUUGAUCGAAUGAAAUGGCCGUGCUAUUUAAUUA